UCUCCGUUGGUGAACCAGCGGAGGGAUCAUUAAGGGACUCUCAUGACCCCUACAACACUGUGAACCUAACUAUAACCACGUCGCUUGCCCGGUUGUCCCUUCCAGGGUUCUCCCUCCCCGAGGCGUUAAACCCGCCGGCCGCCUUCUUUACCCUGUCACUUUGCGUUGGCAUCUCGAGUACAAUCAAACAAGUUAAAACUUUCAACAACGGAUCUCUUGGUUCUG
rnacentral:misc_RNA from 1 species